rnacentral:tRNA from 1 species
GGCCCGUUCGGCUUUCGGUGAGGCUGACGGUCUUUCAAACCGUCCAGAUGGGUUCGACUCCCAUACGGGCUG